rnacentral:rRNA from 1 species
UACGAAGGGGGCUAGCGUUGUUCGGAUUUACUGGGUGUAAAGGGAGCGUAGGCGGCUCGAUAAGUCUGAUGUGAAAACCCGGGGCUCAACCCCGGGACUGCAUUGGAAACUAUCGAGCUAGAGUGUGGGAGAGGUAAGUGGAAUUCCUAGUGUAGCGGUGAAAUGCGUAGAUAUUAGGAGGAACACCAGUGGCGAAGGCGGCUUACUGGACCAUAACUGACGCUGAGGCUCGAAAGCGUGGGGAGCAAACAGG